rnacentral:tRNA from 1 species
GCCUGGGUGGCUCAGUCGGUUGAGCAUCCGACUUCGGCUCAGGUCAUGAUCUCACGGUUUGUGGGUUCGAGCCCCGCGUCAGGCU